UGCUCUUGUUUCUCUUCAGAUCACAUAAAUCUUUCGCCUUUUACUAAAGAUUUCCGUGGAGAGGAACAUCAAGAGAUUUUGACAAUUUUUUGAUGCUCUGCUUAACAGUGGGGCU
ensembl:snRNA U5 U5 spliceosomal RNA